rnacentral:rRNA from 1 species
UCUUAGUGGCGGACGGGUGAGUAACGCGUGGGUAACCUGCCUUGCACUGGGGGAUAACACUUAGAAAUAGGUGCUAAUACCGCAUAAGCGCACGGUCCUGCAUGGGACAGUGUGAAAAACUCCGGUGGUGCAAGAUGGACCCGCGUCUGAUUAGCUGGUUGGCGGGGUAACGGCCCACCAAGGCGACGAUCAGUAGCCGGCCUGAGAGGGUGGACGGCCACAUUGGGACUGAGACACGGCCCAAACUCCUACGGAAGGCAGCAG